AGCACAUCUGAACCUUCAGCCAUGCUGAAGGUAUCAGUACGGCAAGAUUUCUGCUAUAUUUACUUCCAAAAUCUGCCCAGAUACAACCAUAGAUUAUCUACUCCCUUUCAUUUUUCUUUUUUUUUUUCAUUCUUCCUGAACUGAAGAGGCUGUUCUUUAAAGUCUGUGAUGCAAGACAUUGUGAGCAUCUUCACCUGGACAUGUCUAACUGAGGAAAAUCAAGGUUCAAGCUGCAGACAUGGUUGGGACAUCCACUGAAUCCAGUAUUCUUGGUACUGAAGAGCCUUGGACCCACCUAACACGGCUAUAGACUUUGGGGUCUGGCACUCAUUGGGAUAUCUGUGAAAAUCAUUCCACUGCACAGGAAAGACUAAAGGAGGGUGGGAGUCACUGUGCUAUUAGUCCUAAAGUUAAACUGCAAGAACCUCACGACCUCUGCAUAUCUCAGCUCACUGAAAGU